CACCCACCAUUCAGUACGUUCAAUUACUCGCCGGGUGUGUGUAUUGUACAUGUCGCUACCCACAGAGACAGAGAGAGAGACGAGGCGACACGUUUUCUCCACAGAGAGGACAAAAGGAAAACACACACGCACACAGGACAAAGUAUCUGAAAACAUGAGACCGGACUUCUCUUAGCCAGACCGAAACCAGCCGCUGACACCGUCCGCUCACACUCGGCUCUUUUCUCCUUUGUUUUACGGUUUAAAACUUCGGCUCUGUCAGCGUUUACCGGUGUGCCCGCUCACCUCUCCGCUCACACGUUACCUUUGAUUCGGGUUGUCCCCGUUUGACUCUCGGGGGCUUUUUGUCGUGAAGGAAGGACAAAAAGGAGAAAAGCCUCAACUUUACUUACUGUGGACCUCUGAGCUACGUCUGAAGUCAGAGAAAAGUGGUGGCAGCCCUCAGACAGGAUCCUUCGUAGUCAGUGGGAUGUUAGAGCUCUGGAAGCAGGACCAGGACUGACUGAAGGAGCAUGGUGAAACACCAACCCCUCCAGGUCUAUGAGCGCCAGCUGUGUUUGUCAUGUAUCACUGGGAUCUACGGUUGCCGCUGGAAACGCUAUCAACGUUCCCAUGAUGACACCACCAAGUGGGAGCUGCUGUGGUCCCUCAUCCUCCUCCUUACCUUCUGUCUGCUGCUGGUCUGGUUCUACUUCUGGUGGGAAGCACAUAAUGACUACAAUGAAUUCAACUGGUUCCUCUAUAACCGCUCUGGGGAGUGGAGCGAUGGCACCGUUCCCAUCCUGGCAACCACUGCCGCUGGCUUUACCUAUAUUGCAUUUUUAAUGGUUUUAGCACUUUGCCACAUUGCACUCGGGCAACAGUUAAAUUUGCACUGGCUCCAUAAGAUAGGAGUGACUGUUGCUCUGCUCACCACCAUUGCCGGGGUGAUAUCUGUCAAUCAAACAUGGGGGCAAGAGUGGGAUGUCAUUCCCAUCUCCCUGCAGGCCACAGGUCCGUUCCUGCACAUAGGGGCUCUUGCUGCGGUCACAGCACUGUCUUGGAUUGUGGCUGGACAGGUCGCCCGUGCAGAAAAACCAAUGUUUCAGGUGGUGGUUGUGCUGCUGUAUCUCAGUGUGUUACUGGGACUCUAUGUGAUGCCUCUCUACAUCACUUCCCCCUGCAUCAUGGAGCCCACCUCCCUCAAACCACGUCCUGAUGUCAUUGGUCACCAGGGAGCCCCCAUGCUUGCUCCAGAGAACACACUGUGGUCUUUCCAGCGAGCCCUGCAGAUGAACGUCACUGGGUUGGAGGCUGACGUGGCUAUCAGUAUGGAUGGAGUGCCUUUCCUGAUGCACGACCACACCCUGCGGAGGACCACAGAUGUAGAGAAGGUUUUCCCAGACAGACAGAUGGAUGAGGCCUCACUCUUCAACUGGACAGAUUUGCAACAGCUCAAUGCAGGGCAAUGGUUCCUUAAGGAUGACCCCUUCUGGAUGGUGCACACUUUGUCCCCACACGAGAAGACUCUGAUUGCCAACCAGAGUGUGUGCAGCCUGGAGCAGCUCCUAAAGCUGGCCUCCUAUCAUAAUAGCACAGUGGUUUUCAGGCUCAGGAGACCUCCUCCAGGCCACCCCUGCUACCACAGCUGGAUCAAUGAUACACUGCAUGCUGUGCAGCAAUCUGGGGUUCCUCAGAGCCUGGUGAUGUGGACUCCAGAUGAGGACAGAGCUCAGGUGAGACAGCUGGCUCCUGGUCUGAUCCAGACAUCAGUGGAGAAACGGAGUCCUCAAAGUCUCCAUCAGUCGGGCAUCAGCAGGCUGCUGCUCAGAUACAAUCAGGCCAGCACACAAGAAAUCAGUAACUUCUCCGAGAGUCACAUCAACCUCACCCUCUACACUGUCAACGAGCCCUGGCUGUACUCUGUGCUCUGGUGCAGCGGGGUGUCUUCAGUCUCAUCAGAGGCCCCGCAUAUCCUCAAAAAGGUGCCUUACCCCAUCUGGCUCAUGGGACCACAUGAAUACUGCCUAAUGUGGGUGUCUGCAGACCUCAUCUCCUUUGCUGUAGUCAUAGGAAUAUUCAUUUUCCAGAAGUAUCGGAUGAGCGGUAUGCGCAGCUACAACCCUGAGCAGAUCAUGCUGAGCGCAGCAGUCAGGAGGUCCAGUCGGGACAUCAGUGUCAUGAAGGAGAAACUUAUCUUUUCUGGUCAGCCCCAGUAGCCACCUGCCUCCUCCAUCCUUCGUGUGUGAUGUGCACCACCUCCUGUCCAUCCUACCUCCUCUCCAUCUCCUCCGCCAGCAGUGACUUCUUCUUUUUUAAAUCCAUUGCAUCCCUCAUUACCUGCCACCUCUCUGCCCACUUUGCCCCUCUCCCCUUCAUCCAUCGCUUCAUGCACCAAAUCUCCCCCACACUCCUCCCAGUGGAGACAACGUUAUGUGUAGGGGAGCUUAUAGAUGCCCCAGUCUGUCUAGACAGCCUCUAGUGCUGGGGGUGAAAGGUAAGCCAUAGGUAGGGAAUGGAGUUGGCAGUGCUGAGGAGCUGUAUGCGGACAAUGGCUACGACUACUACACCAAUCAGGGCAUCAGCCAGUGAUUGGAACCAAGCCUGUGUGAAUCUGCUGCGGUGAGACGGAGACGACAACACUCAGUGUUCAAAUCAUUCCUGUUUUAGUCAGUCUGAGGUCUGAUCUCCUCCUCUGUCCUACUGAUUAACUGACAGACUGUUGUAUCUGACGGGAGAAAACAACCACCCACUUGCUUUGUGUACAUUCUGUAUAUAGGGUUUUUGCUUGUCAGACAUACAGGGGACUACAUGCACUUUUUAUUGACAGAAUUCGCCAAAUCUAUGGCCUCCUCUCACAUCAUUAAAUGUCCAAGAGGCCUCCCCCAUCCAAGACAAUUUUCCAGAUUCUUUACUUUGAAGCUAAUUUUCCAAAGCAGUUUAUUAUUUUUAGCACUGUAAAUGAUAUUCUGCUCUUAGCAGAUGAAUUUCUUUUUAACAAGGCUUUUUAAAAUCCUUUAUUGCAGCAUGAGAUAAAAAGCUUAAUAGCUCAGUAUGCUCUUGCCUUCUGUCAGCACUCCACUGUGCUGUUGUUCAUAAUAGUACAUUAAUAUUUAUAUUUAAAGAGAAAAACAAAAAACACAAACAAGCUGUUUACAGAAGUCCUGCCUUCUCCUCCAGGUGAAAUAUUCACAUGGUGUAUGUAAGAUAAUUAUUUUGAUAGAGGCUGAAUGAACCCUCUGCCCUACUUCUGAUCAGUGCAUGUUAUAGUAAUGAUCGUAUCAGAUGAUUUGUGUGAGCUGUGCUCCCAGUGUGUAACCAGAAGAAGAACUGGUGACAGUGGUUUGGGGUGGAGAUUUGUGCUGUCUUUUUAUGGCUAAUGUGAAUGUGUUAUGGAUUAUGUUUCUUUUUUUAAAAGACGUGUACGGUGUAUUGUGUGUAUCCUGAUUGGAUAUGUAUUUUUUACCCUGUGUGCAGUGCUAUGUUGAGUGUGUUAUUGUACAUAAAAGGUGAACCAAUGUGAGAGAUGCUCCAGCCAACUAAGAAUUACAUUCAAACAAACUAUAGCAGCAAUAGUCUGGUCAUGAUGGAAGUCAUUUCACUUCCGACACAGCCUCUGGAUUGCAGUUUAAGUCUGUGGUAUUGUAGUGCUGACAAACAAAACACAUCUUAAUGUUGGUUUCUGGUGUAAAACUGAAACCUGUAAGGAAAAUGAAGUGGGUGCUAAAUGUGAAAAUAAAGCUCCAAGCAAAGUGAAGGGACACUACAGGUAUCGCAGCAGGCAGCACAGGGUCAAGAAACUGAUUGCCUUUUGUGUUGACUUUCUUUCUUUGGGUAUUACUGUGCCUCAGAAGUAAACAUUAAAAAAGUCUUCUAAUACAUAA